AACAAGGCGUACCUGCGGACCUGCGGAAGGAUCAUUACAGAGAACUUGCCCGUCUGGGUAGAUCUCCCACCCUUUGUUUACUAUACCUUUGUUGCUUUGGCAAGCCUGUCUUGUGACUACUGGCCUCCAGCUAGUAAGUGCUUGCCAGAGGACCCCAAACACUUUACAUUGUGUUGUCUGAGUAGUACAGAAAUUUUUAAAACUUUCAGCAACGGAUCU
rnacentral:misc_RNA from 1 species